rnacentral:rRNA from 1 species
UACGUAGGGUGCGAGCGUUGUCCGGAAUUAUUGGGCGUAAAGAGCUCGUAGGCGGUCUGUCGCGUACGGAUCGUGAAAACUUGGGGCUUAACCCUGAGCUUGCGGUCGAUACGGGCAUGACUGGAGUUCGGCAGGGGAGACUGGAAUUCCUGGUGUAGGCGGUGAAAUGCGCAGAUAUCAGGAGGAACACCGGUGGCGAAGGCGGGUCUCUGGGCCGAUACUGACGCUGAGGAGCGAAAGCGUGGGGAGCAAACAGG